AUGGCCCUCAACCUGACCCACCAGACCGGCGCUGCAGGCAUCGCGGCCACCCCGGCGCCGGGCGCGCGCGCUUCGGUGUUCGCGGCGGCCUCGCCCGCCGCCGCCGCCGCCGCCAGCUCCGUCGUGGCGCAGGCGCAGGCGAGCAGCCUGAGGAUGCAGACGCAGCUGGUGGAGCCCGCGCAGCCGCAGGCGCAGGAGAUGUUCCAGGCCAUGGCGCCCGACCAGCAGCAGCAGGGCGAGGCCGAGCACCCGGACGCGGGCGGCGAGGAGGCGCGCAAGGUGGGCGUGCCGGUGUUCGUGAUGAUGCCGCUGGACACGGUGCGCAAGGACGGCAGCGCGCUGAACCGGCGCAAGGCGAUGCAGGCGUCCCUGGCGGCGCUCAAGAGCGCGGGCGCGGCCGGCAUCAUGGUGGACGUGUGGUGGGGCAUCGCCGAGAGCGAAGGCCCCGGCCAGUACAACUUCGCCGGCUACAUCGAGCUCAUGGAGAUGGCCAAGAAGGCCGGGCUCAAGGUGCAGGCCGUCAUGUCUUUCCACCAGUGCGGCGGCAACGUCGGAGACUCAGUCAACAUACCACUUCCGAAAUGGGUGACGGAGGAGAUGGACCAGGACCAGGACCUGGCGUACACGGACAGGUGCGGCCGCCGGAACUACGAGUACAUCUCGCUGGGCGCCGACGCGCUCCCGGCGCUCAAGGGCCGCACCCCCAUCCAGUGCUACGCCGACUUCAUGCGCGCCUUCCGCGACCACCUCGCGCCCUACAUGGGCAACACCAUCUGCGAGAUCCAGGUCGGCAUGGGCCCCGCCGGCGAGCUCCGCUACCCCUCCUACCCGGAGAGCAACGGCACCUGGUCCUUCCCCGGCAUCGGCGAGUUCCAGUGCUACGACCGCUACAUGCGCGCCAGCCUCAAGGCCGCCGCCGAGGCCGUGGGCAGGCCCGAGUGGGGCAACGCCGGCCCCGAGGACUCGGGCAGCUACAACCAGUGGCCCGAGGACACCGGCUUCUUCCGCCGCGACGGAGGAUGGAACACCGACUACGGCCAGUUCUUCAUGAGCUGGUACUCGCAGAUGCUGAUCGAGCACGGCGAGCGCAUCCUCUCCGCCUGCUCCUCCGUCUUCACCGGCAGCACCGGCGUCAAGGUCUCCAUCAAGGUGGCCGGCAUCCACUGGCACUACGGCACCCGCUCCCACGCCCCCGAGCUCACCGCCGGCUACUACAACACCAGGAACCACGACGGGUACCUGCCCAUCGCGCGCAUGAUCGCCCGCCACGGCGCCGUGCUCAACUUCACCUGCGUCGAGAUGCGCAACCACGAGCAGCCGCAGGACGCGCAGUGCAUGCCCGAGGCGCUCGUCAGCCAGGUGGCCGGCGCCGCCAAGGAGGCCGGCGUGGGCCUCGCCGGCGAGAACGCCCUGCCCAGGUACGACGAGACGGCGCACGACCAGGUGCUGGCCACCGCCGCCGAGAAGGCCGAGGAGGACCGCAUGGUCGCCUUCACCUACCUCCGCAUGGGCCCCGACCUCUUCCAGCCCGACAACUGGCGCCGCUUCGCCGCCUUCGUCAAGCGCAUGACGGAGACCGGCGUCAGGGACGUGAGCCGGGAGCAGGUGGAGCGCGAGGCUCAUAACGUCGCCCACGCCACCCAAGGCGUCAUCCAGGAGGCCGCCGUCGCCCUCUGCAACUAA
rnacentral:rRNA from 1 species